rnacentral:tRNA from 1 species
GCGGGGGUAGCCAAGUUGGUAAAACAAAAGAGACAAUUUGUAUGGGGUCAUACAAACGUGCCGAACGGCGCAGGACUUAAGAUCCUGUCUCGUAGGAGUUCAUGGGUUCGAAUCCCAUCCCCCGCACCA